rnacentral:rRNA from 1 species
UCAAGUUAUUAAGGGUGCAGGGCGGAUGCCUUGGCACUAGGAGCCGAUGAAGGACGUGAUAAGCUGCGAUAAGCUUCGGGGAGUUGCACGUAAACUUUGAUCCGAAGAUUUCCGAAUGAGGAAACUCACUUAGAGUAAUGUCUAAGUAUCAUUAAGUGAAUACAUAGCUUAAUGAGGGGAACUCAGGGAACUGAAACAUCUAAGUACCUGAAGGAAGAGAAAGAAAUUCGAUUCCGUAAGUAGCGGCGAGCGAACGCGGAUUAGCCCAAACCAAUAAAGUUUUCUUUAUUGGGGUUGCGGACAUAUCAUAACGAAGAGGUAUCGUAAUUGAAGAGGUUUGGAAAGACCCACCACAGAAGGUAAUAGUCCUGUAUGUUAAACGAGAAGACUUCAGAUAUGAUCCAGAGUACCACGGGACACGUGAAACCCUGUGGGAAGCAGGAGGGACCACCCUCCAAGGCUAAAUACUACCUAGUGACCGAUAGCGUAUAGUACCGUGAGGGAAAGGUGAAAAGAACCCCGGGAGGGGAGUGAAAUAGAACCUGAAACCCUGCACUUACAAGCUGUGGAAGCACAUUUCUUGUGUGACCGCGUACUUUUUGUAGAACGGGCCAACGAGUUACGUUAAGUAGCAAGGUUAAGCACUUAAGGUGCGGAGCCGUAGCGAAAGCGAGUUUUAACUGAGCGUUCAGUUACUUGACGUAGACCCGAAACCGGGCGACCUACCCAUGAGCAGGAUGAAGCGAAAGUAAAAUUUCGUGGAGGUCCGAACCCACGAGCGUUGAAAAGCUCGGGGAUGACUUGUGGGUAGCGGUGAAAUUCCAAUCGAGCCCGGAGAUAGCUGGUUCUCCCCGAAAUAGCUUUAGGGCUAGCCUCAAGGUGAGAGAUACGGAGGUAGAGCACUGAAUGUCCUAGGGGGUAUUGCACCUACCGAAGACUAUCAAACUCCGAAUGCCGUCAUCUUAUACUUGGGAGUCAGACUGUGGGUGAUAAGAUUCAUAGUCGAAAGGGCAACAGCCCAGAUCGUCAGCUAAGGUCCCUAAAUGUAAGUUAAGUGGUAAAGGAUGUGGGAUUGCACAGACAACCAGGAUGUUGGCUUAGAAGCAGCCACUCAUUCAAAGAGUGCGUAAUAGCUCACUGGUCGAGUGAUCCUGCGCCGAAGAUUUCCGGGGCUAAAACUUACUACCGAAGCUACGGCAUCAGUAAUGAUGGGUAGGGGAGCUUCCCAUACGGGUUGAAGCAUGACCGUAAGGACAUGUGGACAGUAUGGGAGUGAGAAUGUUGGCAUGAGUAGCGAGAUGUGGGUGAGAAUCCCACAGGCCGUAAACCCAAGGUUUCCAGGGGAAGGUUCGUCCGCCCUGGGUUAGUCGGGACCUAAGCUGAGGCCGAAAGGCGUAGGUGAUGGACAACAGGUUGAUAUUCCUGUACUACCGAUAACCAUUUGAGAGAAGGGAUGACACAGUAGGAUAAGCUAAGCACACUGUUGGUUAUGUGUGCCCAAGCAUUGAGGCAGUCAAAGUAGGCAAAUCCGCUUUGAUAAUGCUGGGAUGUGAUGGGGAGCGAAAUUUAGUAGCGAAGUAGCUGAUUUCACACUGUCAAGAAAAGUCUCUAUCGAGGUUAAAGGUACCCGUACCGCAAACCGACACAGGUGGGUGAGGAGAGUAUCCUAAGGCCAGCGAGAGAACUGUUGUUAAGGAACUCGGCAAAAUGACCCCGUAACUUAGGGAUAAGGGGUGCCACCAUCCGGUGGCCGCAGAGAAUAGGCCCAAGCGACUGUUUACCAAAAACAUAGGUUUCUGCUAAGUCGCAAGACGAUGUAUAGGAGCUGACGCCUGCCCGGUGCUGGAAGGUUAAGGGGAUCUGUUAGAGCAAUCGAAGCAGUGAACUUAAGCCCCAGUAAACGGCGGCCGUAACUAUAACGGUCCUAAGGUAGCGAAAUUCCUUGUCGGGUAAGUUCCGACCCGCACGAAAGGCGUAACGAUUUGGGCACUGUCUCAACAACAGACUCGGUGAAAUUGUAAUUCCGGUGAAGAUGCCGGAUACCUGCGACAGGACGGAAAGACCCCAUGGAGCUUUACUGUAGCUUGACAUUGGGUCUUGGUACUACAUGUACAGGAUAGGUGGGAGGCUUUGAAACCAGGACGCCAGUUUUGGCGGAGCCAUCCUUGGGAUACCACCCUUGUAGUACUGGGACUCUAACCAUAGGCCAUGAAUCUGGUCUUGGGACACUGUCAGGUGGGCAGUUUGACUGGGGCGGUCGCCUCCCAAAAGGUAACGGAGGCGCUCAAAGGUUCUCUCAGUACGGUCGGAAAUCGUACGUAGAGUGUAAAGGCAAAAGAGAGCUUGAUUGCAAGACAUACAGGUCGAGCAAGGAUGAAAAUCGGACUUAGUGAUCCGGUGGUUCUGCGUGGAAGGGCCAUCGCUCAACGGAUAAAAGCUACCCUGGGGAUAACAGGCUUAUCUCCCCCAAGAGUCCACAUCGACGGGGAGGUUUGGCACCUCGAUGUCGGCUCAUCACAUCCUGGGGCUGUAGUAGGUCCCAAGGGUUGGGCUGUUCGCCCAUUAAAGUGGUACGCGAGCUGGGUUCAGAACGUCGUGAGACAGUUCGGUCCCUAUCCGUCGCAGGCGUAGGAAAUUUGAGAAGACCUGUCCUUAGUACGAGAGGACCGGGAUGGACGUACCUCUGGUGUACCAGUUGUUCUGCCAAGGGCAUGGCUGGGUAGCUAUGUACGGAAUGGAUAAGCGCUGAAAGCAUCUAAGCGCGAAGCCAACUUCAAGAUAAGAUUUCCCACCGUAAGGGUAAGACCCCAGAAAGACUAUCUGGUUGAUAGGUCGAAGGUGUAAGUGCAGCAAUGUAUUUAGCUUAUCGAUACUAAUAGGUCGAGGACUUGACCAA